rnacentral:rRNA from 1 species
GAUGAACGCUGGCGGCGUGCUUAACACAUGCAAGUCGAACGGUGAAGGCGGAGCUUGCUCUGCUGGAUCAGUGGCGAACGGGUGAGUAACACGUGAGCAAUCUGCCCCUGACUCUGGGAUAAGCGCUGGAAACGGCGUCUAAUACUGGAUACGAGCUGCGAAGGCAUCUUCAGCAGCUGGAAAGAAUUUCGGUCAGGGAUGAGCUCGCUGCCUAUCAGCUUGUUGGUGAGGUAAUGGCUCACCAAGGCGUCGACGGGUAGCCGGCCUGAGAGGGUGACCGGCCACACUGGGACUGAGACACGGCCCAGACUCCUACGGGAGGCAGCAGUGGGGAAUAUUGCACAAUGGGCGAAAGCCUGAUGCAGCAACGCCGCGUGAGGGACGACGGCCUUCGGGUUGUAAACCUCUUUUAGCAGGGAAGAAGCGAAAGUGACGGUACCUGCAGAAAAAGCGCCGGCUAACUACGUG